UACGGAGGGUGCAAGCGUUAUCCGGAUUCACUGGGUUUAAAGGGAGCGCAGGCGGGCUGGUAAGUCAGUGGUGAAAGCCUUGAGCUUAACUCGAGAACUGCCAUUGAUACUAUCAGUCUUGAAUAUUGUUGAGGUUUGCGGAAUGGGUCAUGUAGCGGUGAAAUGCAUAGAUAUGACCCGGAACACCUAUUGCGAAGCAGCAGGCUAAACAAAGAUUGACGCUGAGGCUCGAAAGCGUGGGGAUCAAACAGG
rnacentral:rRNA from 1 species